CCUACGGGCGGCAGCAGUGGGGAAUAUUGGUCAAUGGGCGCAAGCCUGACCCAGCAACGCCGCGUGAAGGAAGAAGGCUUUCGGGUUGUAAACUUCUUUUUAGAGGGAAGAGAAGAAGACUGUACCUCUUGAAUAAACCACGGCUAACUACGUGCCAGCAGCCGCGGUAAUACGUAGGGGGCAAGCGUUGUCCGGAUUUACUGGGUGUAAAGGGCGUGCAGCCGGGAAGACAAGUCAGAUGUGAAAUCCCGCGGCUCAACCGCGGAACUGCAUUUGAAACCGUUUUUCUAGAGUACCGGAGAGGUAGUCGGAAUUCCUGGUGUAGCGGUGAAAUGCGUAGAUAUAAGGAAGAACACCAGUUGCGAAGGCGGAUGACUGGACGGCAACUGACGUUGAGGCGCGAAAGCGUGGGGAGCAAACAGGAUUAGAUACCCCUGUAGUC
rnacentral:rRNA from 1 species